UACAGAGGGUGCAAGCGUUGUUCGGAAUUACUGGGCGUAAAGCGUGCGCAGGCGGCGCGUUAAGACAGGUGUGAAAGCCCCGAGCUUAACUUGGGAAUUGCGCUUGUGACUGGCGAGCUGGAGUGUGGCAGAGGGAGGUGGAAUUCCACGUGUAGCAGUGAAAUGCGUAGAGAUGUGGAGGAACACCGAUGGCGAAGGCAGCCUCCUGGGCCAGCACUGACGCUCAUGCACGAAAGCGUGGGGAGCAAACAGG
rnacentral:rRNA from 1 species